AUGGCGUACUCCUCCUAUUUGAAUCGGAGUUUGAAACCAAACAAACUUCUCCUCAGGAGGAUAGAUGGGGCGAUUCAGGUGAGAUCCCAUGUAGAUCUAACUUUCUAUUCACUCGUGCAUCUUCACAGACCAAGAACUACGAGAUCACCCCUUUCAUUCUACGGUGACGGAGGGAUCGUACCAUUCGAGCCUUUUUCAUGCUUUUCCUGGCGGUCUGGAGAAAGCAGCAAUCAAUAG
rnacentral:rRNA from 1 species